rnacentral:lncRNA from 1 species
GUUUUGGGGGUUUUUGAAAUUUAAAAAAUGGCACUAGGUGUUGAACACCUAAGCCUAGUGUAAAUGAGAGGUUUUUUUUGUGAGUCACACAUAAGCCUUGGGCACUACUUAUUCAAAUCUUACUAUUGGAGGGUAAGCCUAAGGUGAGGUUUAUUAGUAGAGUAGGGUCUAGGGUAGAUCAUAAAUCUUGGGAAAGACUUAUGUCGUAAUUAAAGGCAAUCCCUUGCUGGCUUCUUAUUUUAGCCUUGGGCAAGGCUUGUUCAGAAGUCACUAGAUCAUUAUUUUGACUUAGGGACCCUU